GAAGCAGCAACGCCGCGUGGAGGAUGACACUUUUCGGAGCGUAAACUCCUUUUCUUAGGGAAGAACAAUGACGGUACCUAAGGAAUAAGCACCGGCUAACUCCGUGCCAGCAGCCGCGGUAAUACGGAGGGUGCAAGCGUUACUCGGAAUCACUGGGCGUAAAGGACGCGUAGGCGGAUUAUCAAGUCUUUUGUGAAAUCUAAUGGCUUAACCAUUAAACUGCUUGAGAAACUGAUAAUCUAGAGUGAGGGAGAGGCAGAUGGAACUGGUGGUGUAGGGGUAAAAUCCGUAGAGAUCACCAAGAAUACCCAUUGCGAAGGCGAUCUGCUAGAACUCAACUGACGCUAAUGCGUGAAAGCGUGGGGAGCAAACAGGAUUAGAUACCCUGGUAGUCCACGCCCUAAACGAUGCAUACUCGUUGUUGCUCUGCUAGUCAGGGCAGUAAUUCAGCUAACGCAUUAAGUAUGCCGCCUGGGGAGUACGGUCGCAAGAUUAAAACUCAAAGGAAUAGACGGGGACCCGCACAAGCGGUGGAGCAUGUGGUUUAAUUCGAAGAUACGCGAAGAACCUUACCUGGGCUUGAUAUCCUAAGAACCUCUUAGAGAUAAGAGGGUGCUAGCUUGCUAGAACUUAGAGACAGGUGCUGCACGGCUGUCGUCAGCUCGUGUCGUGAGAUGUUCGGUUAAGUCCGGCAACGAGCGCAACCCACGUAUUUAGUUGCUAACAGUUUGGCUGAGCACUCUAAAUAUACUGCCUUCGUAAGGAGGAGGAAGGUGUGGACGACGUCAAGUCAUCAUGGCCCUUAUGCCCAGGGCGACACACGUGCUACAAUGGCAUAUACAAUGAGACGCAAUACCGCGAGGUGGAGCAAAUCUAUAAAAUAUGUCCCAGUUCGGAUUGUUCUCUGCAACUCGAGAGCAUGAAGCCGGAAUCGCUAGUAAUCGUAGAUCAGCCAUGCUA
rnacentral:rRNA from 1 species